rnacentral:misc_RNA from 1 species
AACGCACAUUGCGCCCCCUGGUAUUCCGGGGGGCAUGCCUGUCCGAGCGUCAUUGCUGCCCUCAAGCACGGCUUGUGUGUUGGGCCCCCGUCCCCCCCCCUCUUUUCGGGGGGGACGGGCCCGAAAGGCAGCGGCGGCACCGUGUCCGGUCCUCGAGCGUAUGGGAAGCAACUUACUUUUGUCACCCGCUCCUGUAGGUCCGGCCGGCGGCCUGCCCCCAACCCUCAAUCAAUCUUUUAACCAGGUUGACCUCGGAUCAGGUAGGGAUACCCGCUGAACUUAA